AGGGCAAUAGCUCAGUGGUAGAGCAUGGGCUUAGCAUGCAAGAAGUCCUGGGUUCAAUCCCCAGUACCUCCA
rnacentral:tRNA from 1 species